CAGGCAUAGAUUGUAUAAGACUCUAGAGAAUUCACAGGUAUAUGCUGUGAUCUCCCCACAAAUCGGAAAAAAAGGUUGUAGCAUUCCUUGCAGUGAUAGAAAUAAUGGCCGAGCAAUUUCCUGGAGCUUUUUCUGGGUAUCCUCUGCAGGUGUUGGAGUCCCAUCAAACAAGCAAAGUGGACACAUCUGGAACUGCCAAGCCUGCUAUUUCAUACUCCACUUGAUGACUUUAAGAAUCAAAGCUGAAUUUUUUCUUCUCCACUCAAUGAAGAAAACGUGUCGGGUGUUUUGGGUGGCUAGGGUUUUUUCAAUUCAACUAAUUAAAACCCUAUUCUACUUAGGAAUAGUCAUGUGUUCCAAU